AUUGAACGCUGGCGGCAGGCCUAACACAUGCAAGUCGAGCGAGCGGCGGACGGGUGAGUAAUGUCUGGGAAACUGCCCGAUGGAGGGGGAUAACUACUGGAAACGGUAGCUAAUACCGCAUACUAUCGGAUGUGCCCGGAUGGGAUUAGCUAGUAGGUGGGGUAACGGCUUACCAAGGCAACGAUGCCUAGCUGGCCUGAGAGGCUGACCAGCCACACUGGAACUGAGACACGGUCCAGACUCCUACGGGAGGCAGCAGUGGGGAAUAUUGCACAAUGGGCGAAAGCCUGAUGGAGCCACGCCGCGUGAGUGAUGAAGGCCUUCGGGUUGUAAAGCACUUUCAGCAGGGAGGCGUUACCCGAAGAGAAAGCCACGGCUAACUCCGUGCCAGCAGCCGCGGUAAUUC
rnacentral:rRNA from 1 species